UACGUAGGGUGCAAGCGUUAAUCGGAAUUACUGGGCGUAAAGCGUGCGCAGGCGGCUAUGCAAGACAGAUGUGAAAUCCCCGGGCUCAACCUGGGAACUGCAUUUGUGACUGCAUGGCUAGAGUACGGGUAGAGGGGGAUGGAAUUCCGCGUGUAGCAGUGAAAUGCGUAGAUAUGCGGAGGAACACCGAUGGCGAAGGCAAUCCCCUGGACCUGUACUGGCGCUCAUGCACGAAAGCGUGGGAGCAAACAGG
rnacentral:rRNA from 1 species